rnacentral:tRNA from 1 species
GGGCGCGUAGUUCAACUGGCAGAACGUCGGUCUCCAAAACCGAAAGGUGAUUGUUCGAAUCGAUCCGCGCCUG